UUGUUUUACUUUUUAUUAUUUAAAUACACCAUACUAGAGCAAAUGUCUCUGAAAAUAUCACAAAUAAAAGAUUUUUCUUCAUUCAGCAAAUUAGAAGUAGGUGAAAAUUUCUACACAGUAGCUGCUAUGAGCCUGACUUUUUUUCUUUUUUUUUUUUUUCUUUUGCCAUGGGAAGUAGCAACAUUAGGACAAAAACACUUACAUGCAUACAUACAUUGUAUUUUACAGAGAUACAAUAAAAGUGUUUGUGAUAGAAUAUCACAAAAGCCACAUCUUUAUCUCAUGUUCAGUUUGAUUGAAACACAUUUCCUUACAACACUUAAAUAUACAAAGAGCAAAUAGAAUGUUGUUAAGGUAAAACAGGGUACAAACUGGCCAGUGCCCUGCUAAUUGUUAAUGAGGGUAGAAAGCAGAUUUCAAUGCUUCUUUUAAUUAGCUUCAUUAGUCAUCUUCCCCCCCC